rnacentral:misc_RNA from 1 species
GAUGAAGAACGUAGCGAAAUGCGAUAAGUAAUGUGAAUUGCAGAAUUCAGUGAAUCAUCGAAUCUUUGAACGCACCUUGCACCCUUUGGCUAUUCCGAAGGGUAUGCCUGUUUGAGUAUCAUGAACACCUCAACUCUCAUGGUUUGCCAUGAUGAGCUUGGACUUUGGGGGUCUUGCUGGCCUGUGGUCAGCUCCUCUCAAAUGGAUUAGCUUGCCAGUGUUUGGUGGCAUCACAGGUGUGAUAACUAUCUGCGCUUGUGGUUUUCCACCAGGUAACCUUCAGCAAUGGGGGUUCGCUGGGGCUCAUAAAUGUCUCUCCUCAGUGAGGACAGCUCUUUGAACGUUUGAUCUCAAAUCAGGUAGGACUACCCGCUGAACUUAAGCAUAUCAAUAAGCGGAGGA